rnacentral:lncRNA from 1 species
CAGCCCCGUGCAUCCGCAGUGCGCGCGUGGGCACGGGGCUCCCUUUCCCGCAGGAACGGGCGCUAGCCCGCCUUCUGGGCGUGGCACCGGCCAGCCCUUUCAUUGGAGGGCCGCAGCAGCCCUCUCCCUGCGCUAGGAUCGCUACCUCCCUCUGCACAGGAGGAGACGGAGGGUCCGAGAGGUGAGGGGCCGGCUCCGAGGCGAGGCACACUCUGAGAGCCAGAGGGCAGCCCUGGCAAGGAGCAGACGAGCCCAAGAGAGGGAAGGAGCUGCAGUCUCCAGUGGAGUGGAAUGCGACUCUUGUGCAGCAGACUCCCAAGCCUCCCACAUUCCUGUGUGCUCUGUGCCCCCUCUGUCUCCAUCUCUCUUGUUUCUUUUAGGGGACACAUGGUCUUGCUUUGUUUUUUGGUUUUGUUUUGUUAUUUGGUAUCUGGGGAUUAAAACCAGGGCCUUCAUAUUGAGAAAAUCUUCAGCCCUUUAAUUUUUUUUUUUUUUAAAUUUUGACCCAAGGAUUCAGUAAAUCACUGAGUUGCCAAGGCUGGCGGCGGGGGGGGGGGGGGCUUGCAAUCUGCCUGCCUCAGUCUCCCAGAAUGCAC